ACAUUGCAUUCAUCUGGUUCAUUUUCGAAUUCCUUACAUUUCAUUUCAUCAUUUCUUUCUUACAUCACAUUUACCUCAAAAUACAUAUUACAUUCUUUUCUUUACAUCAUUUACCAUCACGUACAAAAGAUGAUCAUAGGGUACUUUACUACAAAAUGAAACCCAAUUUUGGUGGCCUCUGACUAAGGUGCGAUACCUUUACCGCGAUCGCUCGCCGGCUCGCUCGGU
rnacentral:lncRNA from 1 species